UACGUAGGGUGCAAGCGUUGUCCGGAAUUAUUGGGCGUAAAGCGCUCGCAGGCGGUCCGAAUGCGUCGUGCGUGAAAGACCCCGGCUCAACUGGGGGAGGUCGUGCGAUACGGUCGGACUCGAGGCCAGUAGGGGGAUGCGGAAUUCCGGGUGUAGUGGUGGAAUGCGUAGAGAUCCGGAGGAACACCGAGCGGCGAAGGCGGCAUCCUGGACUGGUCCUGACGCUCAGGAGCGAAAGCGUGGGGAGCGAGUCCGG
rnacentral:rRNA from 1 species